GACAGAGGGGGCAAGCGUUGCUCGGAAUUACUGGGCGUAAAGGGCGCGUAGGCGGGAUGGCAAGUCGGUCGUGAAAUCCCUCGGCUCAACCGAGGAACGUCGAUCGAUACUGCUGUUCUUGAGGAUUGCAGAGGAGACUGGAAUUCCCGGUGUAGCGGUGAAAUGUGUAGAGAUCGGGAGGAACACCGGUGGCGAAGGCGGGGUCUCUGGGCAAUUCCUGACGCUGAGGCGCGAAAAGCGUGGGGAGCAAACGGG
rnacentral:rRNA from 1 species